UUACUUUGGCAGAUUAGUGCUUUAAAUUUAGAAUUUAAAUAUGUAUAUAUAUAUUAUUACAAGUAACAUAUU
rnacentral:tRNA from 1 species